rnacentral:misc_RNA from 1 species
CCGAGUUUACAACUCCCGAACCCAAUGUGAACCAUACCAAACUGUUGCCUCGGCGAGGUCACGCCCCGGGUGCGUCGCAGCCCCGGAACCAGGCGCCCGCCGGAGGGGCCAACCAAACUCUUUCUGUAGUCCCCUCGCGGACGUUAUUUCUUACAGCUCUGAGCAAAAAUUCAAAAUGAAUCA